rnacentral:lncRNA from 1 species
AACGGUGGGGCUCGUUUGGUAUCGAGAUCUAUUUAAUGCUAAUAAAAAAACAAAGAGUCAGAUCGAAAGCAUAUGCUAAUAUGUUUCUGAGUUCGUCGGUGCGGAAAAUACAUGAAAUAUAUAGUAAUCGACUCAUUAUAAUAUGCAGAACGCGAUAUUAUACACGAAAAGAAACAAUAUGUUUUGUUCUUUUCCACGAAACUUUUA